rnacentral:rRNA from 1 species
AGUGAACGCUGGCGGUAGGCCUAACACAUGCAAGUCGAACGAGUGGCGGACGUGUGAUGAAUACAUCUGAAUCUACUCUGUCGUUGGGGAUCCCGUAGGGAACCUUACGCUAAUCCCGCAUCCGAUUGACUUAGCCUAUGUCGGAUUAGCUAGUUGGCGGGGUAAAGGCCCACCAAGGCGACGAUCCGUCGCUGGGCUGAGAGGAUGAUCAGCCACACUGGAACUGAGACACGGUCCAGACUCCUAAGGGAGGCAGCAGUGGGGAAUAUUGGACAAGGGGCGCAAGCCUGAUCCAGCCAUACCGCGUGGGUGAAGAAGGCCUUCGGGGUGUAAAGCCCUUUUGUUGGGAAAGCGGUACCCAAAGAAUAAGCACCGGCUAACUUCGUGCCAGCAGCCGCGGUAAUAC